CAUAGGUUAAUGAGGCGAACCGGGGGAACUGAAACAUCUAAGUACCCCGAGGAAAAGAAAUCAACCGAGAUUCCCCCAGUAGCGGCGAGCGAACGGGGAGCAGCCCAGAGCCUGAAUCAGUGUGUGUGUUAGUGGAAGCGUCUGGAAAGGCGCGCGAUACAGGGUGACAGCCCCGUACACAAAAAUGCACAUGCUGUGAGCUCGAUGAGUAGGGCGGGACACGUGGUAUCCUGUCUGAAUAUGGGGGGACCAUCCUCCAAGGCUAAAUACUCCUGACUGACCGAUAGUGAACCAGUACCGUGAGGGAAAGGCGAAAAGAACCCCGGCGAGGGGAGUGAAAAAGAACCUGAAACCGUGUACGUACAAGCAGUGGGAGCACAGAGCAAUC
rnacentral:rRNA from 1 species